rnacentral:lncRNA from 10 species
CGGGCGUGGUGGCGCGUGUUUGUAGUCCCAGACACUCCUGAGGUUGAGGUGGGAGGAUCACCUGAGCCCUCGGGAGGUCGAAGCUGCAGUGAGCGGAGAUCGCACCGCUGCACUCCAGCCUGGGGGACAGUGAGGCGGUCUCAAAACAAAACAAAAACAAAAGGGGAGGGCGGGGGGAAGACUUAAAGACCCCUGAGCCAGGGCCAUUAUUAUUUAACUUGGUCGGGUCUCUGAACCAUUCGGAGGAAGCUUGGGUUUCUAUCCUUCCCGACUGAGCCACAGACCUGAGUCUUGACUCCGGAUAAAUCACCCCAGACUGUUUUUCUGUCUGUGACACGGGAACGGCAGCUUCUGCCUCGCGAGGUGGAGAGAGAAUGAGAAGCGCCGUGUGUGGCGCGCCUGACACGGUCAGCUCGCGGGUGGAGGCCCGGAGCAGAACGCCCUCGGGCGCCCGCUCUUGCAGCCGCACUGGAGACCGGGAAUGGCUCCGGCCACGCCUCUGCCGACUGCGGCAACGCGAGGGACAGCUGGUCUCCGGGGUUGCAGCGUAACGCCCUCCUUCCCGGCCUCAUCUUUCCUGACUGCAUAACGGGCAUACAGUGGGUUCCAUGGCGCAAGGGAGCUGAAGAAGCCGCCCGCCCCCAGCUCGCCCGGGAUCCUCACGCCCCUAUAACGCCCCGAGGGGCCACGAUGCUGCCCACAGCCCAGAUCGCGAGUGCGGACCCUGCGGGAGGGUCUGGCCUAGAUGCGAGUUUCCCGCCGCAGACCAGGCGAGGCCACGCGACAUAUCCCCUACCCGCUUACUGCAGGCCGCAGACGGAGACAGUGCAGCCCUGCGCACUGCUGAGGUUGCCCGAGGUCUCAGCCUCGGCGGGUCGGGAACACGCGGCGCGCGCCCGCGCCCCAACCGGAAGUCCGCCACCGGCCGCUCUAGCACGCGCAGGGCUGCGUCUGUGGCCUUAACCCUUCCCAAGGCUGCGCCGCCGGCCUUUGUCUCCGCGGAGCGUCACAAAGGUUGGAAGGGUCGCGGGGCCUCUGGGUGCCGAGCUGCAGAUGCCUCCACUGCGAGCACAGCCCUGAGACAAGGGCCCAGGCGCCCAGCGGGGCUGGUUUCACUCAGUCCAGCCGCACCUACCCGUGCCCUCACCAGAUCUUAAGAUACAGACAUUAAAACCUCCACCGGGCCGCGGCACAGGACAGCAGUUUUACUUUCUGUUUUUGGCAUUGCAUUGCCUCCAUUUCCUAGAGUGCACGUAAUAAAUACCGCUGGUGAUUCCAAAAUAUAAAGGUUGAAAAUAUUUACUUUACAAAAAUUUGGUUCCCAUACUGCUUUUAAGGCCAUCCUCUGCACUUGGUUCCCGCUGCUCCUGAUGUGGUUGAAAGAUGGAUGACCCCAAAGACGAGGAAAAGAUUAUUGGCUCCAUUUUUUAGAUGCGGCAGCCAGCUAAGCUGCCUGGCUGCCUGGAGGAACAAAGGAGGGCCGGGCAAGAACGCCAUUACCAACUGCAAAUCCACAGGCAAAUGCAAGAGGACAGAAAGUAAGUUCUUGGGCUCUGCCCUUGUGCCGUACCCGGAGGGGUUCUGGGGUCACCAGCCAGGUGCAUCCCUGCCUUCACAGCCAUGCACAGCGACACCCAGUUAACUAAUGGGGGGGAUUAUGCCACUUGCUGGGUAUGCCUGUGCCACCAGUGCACUCACUCUGUGCCUGGGGAAAUAACCACGGAUGAAUCUGGGGAUCCCCUGGGCCCACUGUGAAAUGGACCUGAGCUAAAACUCCAUUGAUCACAGGACCUCAGGGAUCUUUUGGGUCUCGAGAACAGAAUUGGAUGCUACAGGAGAAAUGUAACCAGAAAAGGAUUAGGAUUUUGCCAGUAGAGAAAGGGAGAUGUGCUUGCUUUCAUUCAUUUAUCAUUAAUGAGCACCUACUGUAUGCCAGGCACCACACUAGGCCCUAGGAAGACAGAGAUUAUGAGACAGAUGUGGCCUUAUUCUAGCAGGGGAAGUGAGAUGAAGGAGGUGAGAAAGAGGAAGUAUAGUGACUAACCAGGGACCUGACCUAGUUUGAAGGUCAGGGAACCUUGGAGGAGGUGAAAUCAAACCCAAAGCCUGAGAUAAGAGAGAGAAGGGGAGGGUGGAGGGAAGGAAAGGGCUUCACAGACAGAGGGAACGGGAGUGCUAACAGCCUGGCCAGCUUCCUUGUGGUAGAAGUUCUAUGCAUGAGUUGGAAGAAAGCUUGGGGAAAGGGGCAGGAGAGGUGGGCAGGGGCCAAAUCCAGCAGGGGCUUUUCUACCAUAAGGAACUUGGUGGGAGAACUCCAUGGGCAAAAACAGGUGUGGAAGGGACCAAGAAGCCCAUGUGGCUGGAGGGCAGGACAUGAGAUGAAGAUGACUAGAGCAGGGAGUGAGGAGGUGGAGAAGGUGAGCAGAGGCCAAGGCUGGGAGGCCUGAAAUGCCUGGCCGCAAAACUCAGCCAUUAGCCUGGAGGCCAUGCAAGUGAACAGCAAGGAGGAGAGUGGAACACCAGGGAGCGGUAGGGAUUGCGGGGACUGAAGGGCAGAGACUCCGCCCCCAGGGCAGUCAGUGUUCUGCACCCCCUACCCCCCUACCCCACCAACCUCCGCCCCAUGACCACUCCAGGAGGCAAACUCAGUAUCUCAGAAUAUCUGCUUUCAAGGGUAGCUGGAGUCCAGAUUUCUUUUUUUAUUUUUGGUAGAGACAGGAUCUUGCUCUGUCGCGCAGGUUGAAGGGUAGCAACACAUAGCUCACUGUAGCCUCAACUCCUAGGCUCAAGCAGUCCUCCUGCCUCAGCCUCCCAAAGUGCUGGGGUUACAGUGUGAGGCACGUCACCCGGCCUGAGUCCAGAUUUUUUUUUUUUUUUUGAGACGGAGUCUCGCUCUUUCACCAGGCCCGAGUGCAGUGGCACUAUCUCGGCU